AUUGAACGCUGGCGGCAGGCCUAACACAUGCAAGUCGAACGGUAACAGGGAUCAGCUUGCUGAUUCGCUGACGAGUGGCGGACGGGUGAGUAAUGUCUGUGAAACUGCCUGAUGGAGGGGGAUAACUACUGGAAACGGUAGCUAAUACCGCAUAACGUCGCAAGACCAAAGAGGGGGACCUUCGGGCCUCUUGCCAUCUGAUGUGCCCAGAUGGGAUUAGCUAGUAGGUGGGGUAACGGCUCACCUAGGCGACGAUCCCUAGCUGGUCUGAGAGAAUGACCAGCCACACUGGAACUGAGACACGGUCCAGACUCCUACGGGAGGCAGCAGUGGGGAAUAUUGCACAAUGGGCGCAAGCCUGAUGCAGCCAUGCCGCGUGUAUGAAGAAGGCCUUCGGGUUGUAAAGUACUUUCAGCGGGGAGGAAGGGAGUAAAGUUAAUACCUUGGCUCAUUGACGUUACCCGCAGAAGAAGCACCGGCUAACUCCGUG
rnacentral:rRNA from 1 species